rnacentral:sRNA from 1 species
ACACCAAGUAAAUACGGGAUGGGCUUC